CACUCCUGCGGGAGGCAGCAGUGGGGAAUUUUGGACAAUGGGCGAAAGCCUGAUCCAGCAAUGCCGCGUGAGUGAAGAAGGCCUUCGGGUUGUAAAGCUCUUUUGUCAGGGAAGAAACGGUGAAAGCUAAUAUCUUUUGCUAAUGACGGUACCUGAAGAAUAAGCACCGGCUAACUACGUGCCAGCAGCCGCGGUAAUACGUAGGGUGCAAGCGUUAAUCGGAAUUACUGGGCGUAAAGCGUGCGCAGGCGGUUUUGUAAGUCUGAUGUGAAAUCCCCGGGCUCAACCUGGGAAUUGCAUUGGAGACUGCAAGGCUAGAAUCUGGCAGAGGGGGGUAGAAUUCCACGUGUAGCAGUGAAAUGCGUAGAUAUGUGGAGGAACACCGAUGGCGAAGGCAGCCCCCUGGGUCAAGAUUGACGCUCAUGCACGAAAGCGUGGGGAGCAAACAGGAUUAGAAACCCGAGUAGUCCCAUU
rnacentral:rRNA from 1 species